UACUUUGCUGAAUUCACAGAUUUUCUAUCUGGUAAACCCUCACUGGUCAUAGCUUUCUGAUUAAGUUUUAGGUCUUCUUUAUGUUUCAAACACUAUAUCCAUGAGCUAUGUUUAAUCAAUUACCUUUUCAUUGAAGCCCAGGUUAGUGUUUGACAUGUGAUGUCAAAAGACAUGGGUCCUCAGAUUGUUCUAUCCUUCAUUAAAUUGAUAGAAAAUCUCCUGGCCACAUGUCCAAGGACAUGGAGGGCAGAGCUAGGGUUGAGGCUCUGAUGUUGCUGAUUUCCACAUGGGGAGGAACCAAGUGACUGAGGGCAAGGGCAUCCAAUGUGGCGGGGGGCGCAACAGGGAAGGUGGGGUGCUAAAGUCCUGGAAUGGGUGUUGGAGAACAAAUGAAGGUGCCUUUCACCAAGAAUUAUUAAAUGAGAACUUUUCAAGAGGUGUCCUUGCUGUUGAGACAGGACUCGCCAGAAGACCAUGGUAAGGGUUAUCUGGGAAUUAGUGUUAAUCCUAGGAACUGAAUAUUAAUAAAAUAAUAACUGAACAGUAAGUCGAAUCAAAGUAUAACACCCCAUAAUUUGCAUUGUUUUCUGCAAAAUGGGGAUAUUACAUCCUCUACACAAGCCGAGUAGGCAAUGCAGCCUUGUUCUUGACCAUGGGAAGGAAAAGCGUUCCUUCUGUCUGAGCAUGUCUGUGGGUAAGGUGGGAGGAGUCACUCCCAGCUGAGUGGUUGGGGAUUGAUGCCUGAUGUAUCUAACAAUACUUUGAAAGGCUGGGUUCUCAUGGCUGCUUUCUCUUUCCUCAGAUUUAUCUGCUUGACUUUCAGAUUGUCCCUGCAUAAGGAUGCAGAGGAGGUCAGGUAGUGCCAGAGUUCCUGAUAAUGAAACAACAGAGUCUCUGAUUGGUUGAAGAUGAUGAAGAAGGGUUUUGGGAUGCAGAAUUUUCUAAAUCCACCUGGAAGCCUGGGAACCUCUCCCUCCAGCCACAAGGCCCUGCCCCACACCCUGCAGAAACCAAUCUGGAAAACCAGACUCCAACCUCUGCAGCAAUAGACCUGAAGGGUCAGGAUUUGGUGAAUGACUCACAGCUUCGUCAUUUUCAGUCCUUUCCAUGUAGAACCAAAUGCGGGGAAAGCCAAAUAUAUUCCCUUAAGUAAUCACUUAGGACGACCCUCUUCCUAUCAACUUGUCUCCAGCCUCCUCACAUCACAAGCUCUGGGGAGCACAUGCCUUCCUUUUUUUGCCAUCAGAAAGUGUCCCCACUCUUAUGUGUGCCCUGAGUCUCAGCCUGAUGUGAGUGGUGGUGGCUGACUCCCGUGCUCUAUAGACAAGUUCUCAGUAAAUAGUGCUUGUUCUCA